AUGAAUUUUCAAUUAAGUACCAGAACGAUGAAUGAAAAUGGACUCACUCCAGUGGUUGUUAUUGUGAAAUUCAGAACACUGAGUUCAAAGAAACAUCCUACACGAUUUCCAGUGACAGAAAAAAAGAAGUCCCUACAAAGAGUUAAGAAUUACAAUGGCAUGACACUUUUCAACAACAUCAUGAGAAAUGGGAAGGCAUUGGGGCAAUGCCUUUAAAAUUCUGAGUUUUUCCUCAGGAAGCUAUCAGAAGAUGUGUUCCAUCAAAACUCAGGGAGUAAACCUAAGGGAAAAAAAAGAUAAAGGAAUCAGAUAACAGAGCCCAUCAUAAAAGGGAGGCGAAGGAAAUUCCUAGGAUGAUGGUGAAGCAGAAUUCCAGCAUGACAACUAUGCAUCAGAUUGGGACAGCUAACCAACCAGUCCAGAUUGGAGCAGGUCUGAAGGGAGAGACAGAGCAUGAACAGGGAAGGGUCAGAGAGAGGGA